UUAGGAUUGGUAAAAACCCCAGACGUAGCAGGAGGGUAUUGGUUGGUUCAUUUUAGACGAAAGGGAAAAAGUGGCGUCUCUCUCUCUCUUUCGUUCUCCUCUUCGAUGUCAUCGACUCUUCGCGUUCGAUUCUGUCGAAAUCUCUAAAGCUUGAUGAUGUUUGAUCCGUUUGUUCGUCGUCGAUUCUGUCGAAAUCUCUCCUAAUCCUCCACCAAUGGUCUUCGUCUCUCCGUCGCUUAUCACAUUGUUCCUCAAUGUCUCUCCUUCACCAAUCUCUGUCUCUUGCAGCCUCUCUCUCGCCUCCCGACUCUCCUCCCGGAAACUCGAUCGUCGUUAUGAACAACUCUGUUUCCGGCUUUGCCGUCGACGGCAUUCUCGUCACCGAACCGGAUCUUUUCCCCUCUUCUCAAAUGUGCCUUUGACGAAAUUGUAGUGAGCUCCUCUUAUAGAAAGCGUGUUCUUCACUACUGCAGCUCUCACAAAUGGGUACGAAAGCAAGUUCCCAAGCGACACAUUCACAGCUUCCUGCAUCUUUUAGAAUCAUUCACUCUCUUUGCUUUAUUUGAGUUUUUCUGGAAGAUUUUGCUUUGUUACAAUGGGUUAUGCUCAGCUCGUUAUAGGGAGAACAAUGAAUGUUGUUAACUUGGAUCGUGCUGCUGAAAUCUUCAACUAUCCUGUGGCUAUGAAAUCUGACUGGGACAGCUCGAUACGCAAGUGUCAACACUCACCUUGGAGUUGGUAAGAGCUAUGUCCUGUUUUUCUGUUUUGUUUUUGCUAUCAGCUUACCAUGGCAGGGACUAAAAGCUGGGACAAAGAAGCAGAAAUAUGAUGUAGUAAGUGAGAAGAAAGUAUCAACUCCUAUAGAGGUGCUGUGUAAAAAUUGCCCGUCUGAAUUUGUUUCAUACUUCCACUACCGUCGAUCUUUGAUAUCAGAGAACUUUUUUUCUUUGGAAGAUGUAAUGGAGGAGGUCGGGCUUGGUCCUAAUGGUGCCCUCAUGUACUGCAUGGAGUAUCCUUUUUGUUGUUACAUAGACAUAAAAUGAGAAUUUAACUACCUCCAGUCUUAAUUAUGUUGCCUUUAUAUGUUGGAAAAUUGCAUGGAGAAUCCACAGAUACCUUGAUGAUAGCUUACAUGAUUGGGUGGAUGAAGAAUUGGAUAACUACCGAGAUGAUGAUUACCUUAUAUUCGAUUGUCCAGGUGCAUACAUGACCGUUACGUUUAUAUGUCUGAUCUUUUUAUACGAGUGGUUUCUGUCACCAGUUUGGUUCCCAAUUAUGUUUUUUUUUUAUCUCUAAAUUCAUGUAAUCAUCUUGCUUUUUUUUCUUUAUUUCAACGACACUUUCAACCAACACUUGUUGGGUCUUGUUGUUGUUUUGUUCUCUCUGUUUUUGUUUUCAUUGCUUCUCUUUUCUCUUCUCUCUAUGUAUGUUUUUUUUAAAAUUAUUCUACUUAAAAAAAAAAUUUAUUUAAGAACCCUUAUGAGGUU